ACACGAUCAACUCUAGUUAAGAGUUGGUACUGACCUCAUAUACCGUAGUGUGUAUUUGGUUUGAAUGUAUCAAGUUGAUGAGCUUCCCAAUGUUGCUCAAUGUGUGCUAGCGAGACAGUCGUCCCGAUCUCACAUUAAUGCUUCAUUGCAAGGCCCUAUAAACAACUUUUAUUAGUCAUUAUCAUUU
rnacentral:misc_RNA from 1 species